rnacentral:lncRNA from 7 species
GUUUUCUUUUCUAUUUCUCACUCUGCCAAGCCUGGACCUGCUCGCUCUGAACUUCUUCAGGAGGCGAUGGACCUGCACGCUGGACCAGGACUCUAAAGCCAUGCACCUCUGGGCAGUCUGCUCCAUCCCUGCAUCCGUCUGGGCACUCUGGCACUUCCCGGCAGGGAGGCUGUGCCUUUCAGGCGUGCUGGCUCCAUGGGCAUGGUGUGCAAGGAAUGGGUGUAGGUGUUUGCUUCCCACAGCAUGGUGGAACUGCUGCUCAUUCAGAACACACCGCAACCUGUGCCUAGAGACCCACCUUGACCCUACAAAGAGCAGCAAGGUCUGCGCAGGGCUGGCAGUGCCCCUGAAGAGCAACCUUGAGCUUCCUGCCCUGAGCAGACAGGAGCUAUUUCAGCACUGAAAAGGUCUCUGGAACAUGCUGGAAAUGCAGGACAAGAGCCAAGAUCGAUCUAGUUUAUGUUCACUCUGCAUAUUUGGAGAUCUCAGGAGCAUCAGGAGAACACAGAAACAGGUGGAGGAUGUGAAAGGUUACAGACAAAGACAAUGAUGCUGGAAAAAAAAAGAGCACACCAUAAAAAAGAAUUCCCAGCAGACACCGUUUACUGUUUGUCAGUCUUCCAAUAGCUCAUGAGGUCUUAAAUGUGCUGAAACUGCUUCAGGCAAUUCUUUACAUACCCUAUACUGGGACUUCUUAGAUCCAGAUACUUCGAAAGCAUCGUCCUGUUUGAGCCUGAAAUCCUGCGUCUCUGUAUUUGGUAGCAACUAUGAUAGCCCUCUGCAUGCUGUUAACCUCAAAAGAUCAACAAGAGCAAAAUGCUAUGAAGGAUGAGUCUCCUUGGCAUUAUAUGUCAAUAAUUGUCCCCUUCCGUUGGGUAGAAAGCCAACGCUUUUCUUACUCUUUCCAGUAAAUGCAUCCAUGCUACUUUUAAUUUCCUUUAUUGGCUGAUGUGAUACACGAUGUGACAUUGUGUAAGAAGUCCUGCUUCAAAGCCCCAACAUGUGGACUGACUGCAUGCUGCCACAGACCCUAUGCCAUUGGGAAGAGGCACAGGUCUUCACAGUGACCAAUCAUCAGUGACAUCUUGGCUAGCCAAGUGUUCCAGGCCUGUCUGGGGGUGCAGAUACCACAGCAACCAGCUCUGCUGCAGAUCUGAGAUAGACAGUGGCUUCCAAAGCAGGACUCUGUUCUUAUGACAGAUACCCAAAGGCAGAUUUUCUUUUAAUUAAGUAUGAAAAUCUAUAAUGCAGUCAGCAUGGUGCCUCUUGGUAUGUUUAUUUUUAUACCCCACUUAUUUGCUUUUGUUCUCAACAUAUGCUUUCAUUACGAGGGAGACUUUUAUACUGACCAUCUGCACACUAUGAAUGAAUUUCAGUUAAAACU